CCUCAAAUCAGGUAGGACUACCCGCUGAACUUAAGCAUAUCAAUAAGCGGAGGAAAAGAAACUAACAAGGAUUCCCCUAGUAACUGCGAGUGAAGAGGGAAAAGCUCAAAUUUAAAAUCUGGCAGUUCUUUGGGCUGUCCGAGUUGUAAAUUGGAGAAGUGUUAUCCGCGCUGGCCUGUGCAAAAGUCUCUUGGAAAAGAGCAUCAUAGAGGGUGACAAUCCCGUCUUUGGCACAGACUACCAGGGCUUUUGUGAUGCGCUCUCAACGAGUCGAGUUGUUUGGGAAUGCAGCUCUAAAUGGGUGGUAAAUUCCAUCUAAAGCUAAAUAUUGGCGAGAAACCGAUAGCGCACAAGUACCGUGAGGGAAAGAUGAAAAGAACUUUGAAAAGAGAGUUAAACAGUACGUGAAAUUGUUGAAAGGGAAACGCUUGAAGUCAGUCGCGUCCUUCAGAAAUCAACCUGACCUUGGUCUGGCUUACUUUCUGGUGGAUGGGUCAGCAUCAAUUUUGAUCAUUGGAUAAAGGCCUUGGGAAAGUGGCAUCUCCAGAUGUGUUAUAGCCUUUGGUUCAUAUACAGUGGUUGGGAUUGAGGAACUCAGUGUGAACUUGGGGCUUUUGGCCUACAACACGCACUUAGGAUGCUGGCAUAAU
rnacentral:rRNA from 1 species